rnacentral:rRNA from 1 species
UACGUAGGGUGCGAGCGUUGUCCGGAAUUAUUGGGCGUAAAGAGCUUGUAGGCGGUUUGUCGCGUCUGCUGUGAAAUUUCGGGGCUCAACCCCGAACUUGCAGUGGGUACGGGCAGACUAGAGUGUGGUAGGGGAGACUGGAAUUCCUGGUGUAGCGGUGAAAUGCGCAGAUAUCAGGAGGAACACCGCUGGCGAAGGCAGGUCUCUGGGCCACUACUGACGCUGAGAAGCGAAAGCAUGGGGAGCGAACAGG